rnacentral:rRNA from 1 species
CCGUUGGGUGAACCAGCGGAGGGAUCAUUACCGAGUUUACAACUCCCAAACCCAAUGUGCUCGUUACCAAACUGUUGCCUCGGCGGGGUCACGCCCCGGGUGCGUAAAAGCCCCGGAACCAGGCGCCCGCCGGAGGAACCAACCAAACUCUUUCUGUAGUCCCCUCGCGGACGUAUUUCUUACAGCUCUGAGCAAAAAUUCAAAAUGAAUCAAAACUUUCAACAACGGAUCUCUUGGUUCUGGCAUCGAUGAAGAACGCAGCGAAAUGCGAUAAGUAAUGUGAAUUGCAGAAUUCAGUGAAUCAUCGAAUCUUUGAACGCACAUUGCGCCCGCCAGUAUUCUGGCGGGCAUGCCUGUCCGAGCGUCAUUUCAACCCUCGAACCCCUCCGGGGGAUCGGCGUUGGGGAUCGGGACCCCUCACCGGGUGCCGGCCCUGAAAUACAGUGGCGGUCUCGCCGCAGCCUCUCCUGCGCAGUAGUUUGCACAACUCGCACCGGGAGCGCGGCGCGUCCACGUCCGUAAAACACCCAACUUCUGAAAUGUUGACCUCGGAUCAGGUAGGAAUACCCGCUGAACUUAAGCAUAU